UUUUUUAACAGAAUAUUCUCUAUUUUAACGUCUGUUUCUUCACCCAUGCAGACUUCACCCACUAACAUUCACCCAUACAGACUUCACCCACUAACAUUCGGAUUUAUUCAAUUUAAUUUAUACAAAAUGUCUCCACUAACUUCAAACUUCACCCACUAACAUUCAGAUUGAUUCAAUUUAAUUUAUACAAAAUGUCUCCACUAACCCACAAAUAUCCCAAUUUACAGCCAUUAAAUUAAAAUAAUUAGCAAAUCAGAUUACACGUCUCAGCAGCAGUUUUAGCAAAUCAGAUUACACGUCUCAGCAGCAGUUACACACAUUAAUUAUAAAUUAUAUUAUUAAUUUUACAUUCACUUUGCAC
rnacentral:lncRNA from 1 species